rnacentral:rRNA from 1 species
GGGUUGUGAGGUUAAGCGACUAAGCGUACACGGUGGAUGCCCUGGCAGUCAGAGGCGAUGAAGGACGUGCUAAUCUGCGAUAAGCGUCGGUAAGGUGAUAUGAACCGUUAUAACCGGCGAUUUCCGAAUGGGGAAACCCAGUGUGAUUCGUCACACUAUCGUUAACUGAAUACAUAGGUUAACGAAGCGAACCGGGGGAACUGAAACAUCUAAGUACCCCGAGGAAAAGAAAUCAACCGAGAUUCCCCCAGUAGCGGCGAGCGAACGGGGAGGAGCCCAG